CAUAGUUAGUUAAUUCGGAUUCGAUAAAAAUUCAGUAUGUGUAUAAUACGUAUAAAAUUUAUUUUUAAAUUUUUAAAUUUAUCAAAAAAUUCGGUUUAAAAAAUAAAUUCGGUAUAAAAUAUAAAAUAUAAAAUAUAAAAUAUAAGAUAAUUUAUAUUUAAAUAUAAAAAUUAUAAAUUUUUUAUUCAGAUUUUUAAUAAUUUGCAAAUCAUUUACAAAUUAUUUGCAAAUUAUUCGGCUGGCCUAAAAAUUUAUGAAUAAUUAUUUUUUUUAGAAAAAAAUUUUAGACAGACCGUUUAAUUCAAAUUUUUAAUAAUUCGUAAAUAAUUCACGAAUAAUUUAUAAAUUAACC
rnacentral:lncRNA from 1 species